rnacentral:lncRNA from 1 species
CGCCAGCAUACAAUAUAAUUGCAGUUGAAGGCAAAUCCUUCAGAAGUUCUUUGUACUUUAUUCUAAAAACGAACAUUUUUUAAUAGGGAAUAUAAGUAAGGGGGAAAGUAACCAAUUUUUUGUUCUUUUAUAAUAUUUACAAAAAAAAAAACGGUGCGGGAAAUGGACAUGAUUACAUUUCCGGAUGCGGAAAGCGGGAAUAUAAAAAAAAUAAAAAAAUUCUGUUUUGAAAAAAAUAGGUGCGGGCGGGUCCGUCGAACAAGGAAUCAAAUUGGUGUGGCCUUAC